rnacentral:rRNA from 1 species
UGUGUAGGAUAGGUGGGAGGCUUUGAAGCGUGGACGCCAGUUCGCGUGGAGCCAUCCUUGAAAUACCACCCUGGCAUGCUUGAGGUUCUAACUCUGGUCCGUGAUCCGGAUCGAGGACAGUGUAUGGUGGGCAGUUUGACUGGGGCGGUCUCCUCCUAAAGAGUAACGGAGGAGUACGAAGGUGCGCUCAGACCGGUCGGAAAUCGGUCGCAGAGUAUAAAGG